rnacentral:rRNA from 1 species
AUGAACGCUGGCGGCGUGGAUAAGGCAUGCAAGUCGAACGGUUUUCUUUAUUGAAGAAGAUGCGAUUACAUCAAAUUAACAGAUAUUUUGAAAACAGUGGCGAACGAGCUAGUAACGCCUUGGUACGUACCCGAAAGUUUGGUAUAGCUCGCCGAAAGGCGGGGUAAUCCCAAAUAGUCCCUUCAUCUAUCGGAUGAUAGGGUAAAGUAGCAAUACGCUUUCGGAUCGGCCUAGGUCCGAUCAGUUAGUUGGUGAGGUAAUGGCUCACCAAGACAAUGACCGGUAGGGG